rnacentral:rRNA from 1 species
UACGUAGGGGGCAAGCGUUGUCCGGAUUUAUUGGGCGUAAAGCGCGUGUAGGCGGCCAGGUAGGUCCGCUGUGAAAACCCGAGGCUCAACCUCGGGACGUCGGCGGAAACCAUCUGGCUAGAGUCCGGAAGAGGAGAGUGGAAUUCCCGGCGUAGCGGUGAAAUGCGCAGAUAUCGGGAAGAACACCCGUGGCGAAGGCGGCUCUCUGGGACGGUACUGACGCUGAGACGCGAAAGCGUGGGGAGCGAACAGG